CGUGCCUGGCUCCACGUUACAGAGCUGGACGUGAAAAUUGGGGUCAAGUUCAGUUCAGGGGUUGACGACUAGCCUGCUGCCCAUGUGUCCUCCUGUUUCCUCUCGCUGGAGGAGGAGAGAGGUCAGCGGUGAUGGCUUUGUAACGUGACCCUUGGCUACAGCCUCCCUUCCAUCCUGCCACGGUGACAAAGCUCACGUUCCCUUCUCAAGGAAAGCCAGCGAGACCUCGGCGCACUCUUUUGAACUGACCAUCGAAUUGUUUUGGACGCAGUAACUGUGGAAUCCUGUCAGAGUCAGAUUCCUGAUAUUCUGAAUCUGUAGCCAUAAACUAAAUGGGUUUAUGAUGCUCCAUAAGAGAUAUGCAGGAUUAUAACAGCCCUCAUCCUGAGAAUAAGAGAAGGGGAGAGAAGCAGCGUUGAUGGCUCUUGGCAGGGCAUGAUACGGGCAGCGGUGCAGUCACGGGCAGAGUCAUCAUCUGGCAGCACAUUCCUGCCCUAUCUGUGCAGUAAACUGGAUCUCCUACUUCCUCUUAUCAGCUGUCAGGAAUUCUCCAACCGAGGCUCUCCCUGCUGCUCUCUCUCACUCUCUUUUCUCCAUUGCCUUCUCUCCCUUUGACAUAAAGCAAUGAUGGUUAAUGGUCAUUAAGAUAAGAGAGCGCCGUGGACAUCAGACGCCUCUGGGGACUCGCUGGAACCCAAACACGGGAGGGGAUGUGUCCCAUCAUCACCGGCACAACAUCUAACCUUCCUCAUCCUCCAUCAGCCAGCUAGUUGUCAUUAGCGUCUAGCAAAUAAGUGCUCAUUAGACAAGGAAAUGGUAUUGUGAAUGCACCCCCUAAAAAUAUACAUUUGUUAAUCAUCGGUUUGCCAAACAACUGAACAUCAUACAUAAGUAAUAUUGCUACAAAUAUACUGUAUAUGUGAAAAACUAAAAGUUAGUCAUGGAAUCUGAAUUAAAAAGAAAUCAGUAUUCAUAAUUGUCCAACAGUACAGAACAUUGUUGAAUAUUGUAUAACAUUAUUUUUAAGACACUUACAUUUAAUUUAAGUUGAAAUAACUUUGACAGCCAAUAAUGAUUAUGCUUUAAAAUGCGUCAGCAACCAAAUGUAAAGGGAUAGUUUGCUCAAA